rnacentral:rRNA from 1 species
UACGUAGGGGGCUAGCGUUAUCCGGAAUUACUGGGCGUAAAGGGUGCGUAGGUGGUUUCUUAAGUCAGAGGUGAAAGGCUACGGCUCAACCGUAGUAAGCCUUUGAAACUGGGAAACUUGAGUGCAGGAGAGGAGAGUGGAAUUCCUAGUGUAGCGGUGAAAUGCGUAGAUAUUAGGAGGAACUCCGAUCGCGUAGGCAGCUUACUAAACCAUAACUGACGCUCAUGCACGAAGGCGUGGGGAUCAAACAGGAUUAGAUACCCUGGUAGUCCCUGAG